GACGAACCGUGCGAACGUUAUUCGGAAUCACUGGGCUUAAAGCGCGUGUAGGCGGGGCGGUGCGUCGGUCGCUGAAAUCCCCCGGCUCAACCGGGGAAGGGGCGCCGAGACGACCGGCCUGGAGCGACGUAGGGGGAACUGGAACUUCCGGUGGAGCGGUGAAAUGCGUUGAGAUCGGAAGGAACGCCCGUGGCGAAAGCGAGUUCCUGGACGUCGGCUGACGCUGAUACGCGAAAGCGGUGGGGAGCAAACGGG
rnacentral:rRNA from 1 species